rnacentral:rRNA from 1 species
AACGAACGCUGGCGGCAUGCCUAACACAUGCAAGUCGAACGAGACCUUCGGGUCUAGUUGCGCACGGGUGCGUAACGCGUGGGAACCUGCCCUUAGGUUCGGAAUAACUCCCCGAAAGGGGUGCUAAUACCGGGUAAUGUCUUCUGACCAAAGAUUUAUCGCCUUUGGAUGGGCCCGCGUUGUAUUAGCUGGUUGGUAGGGUAAAAGCCUACCACGGCGACGAUCCAUAGCUGGUCUGAGAGGAUGAUCAGCCACACUGGGACUGAGCCACGGCCCAGACUCCUACGGGAGGCAGCAGUGGGGAAUAUUGGACAAUGGGCGAAAGCCUGAUCCAGCAAUGCCGCGUGAGUGAUGAAGGCCUUAGGGUUGUAAAGCUCUUUUACCCGGGAUGAUAAUGACAGUACCGGGAGAAUAAGCUCCGGCUAACUCCGUG